CCACCACGGGUAUCGAAACCCGGAUUCUAGCGUUGUAAGUCCGCAGACAUGCCGCUGUGCCAAUGGCGGGCACAAGUGUUGGAAGAAUGUCAAAUUCUCCGUGACUUGGGACGUUCAGAAUGUAUCAAUUAAGAAUACAAUUUUUGUUGUUGUGUUAGUAAAUGUAUAAGACUUAUUUACUAAAGCCAAAUUGGCGCAGUGGCACAGCGGUAUGUAUUCGGACUUACAACGCUAGAAUCGGGUAGCGAUACCCGUGGUGGGCAGAGCACAGAUAGACCAUUGUGCUUAAUUACAAACAAAUCAAAUUGGCGAUAUUUUCAUAUGUUUCAUCCAUGGUUGCCAGGCAACCCUAAAUAACGUUACUUGCUAAAGGACAACCUUACAAGAGAUUGCAAUCUCUAGCUAUGUUAAUAGAUAACUGAAACAUCACAUUAUUUUUAAAAUCGUUUUAAAAUAUCUGUAAACUACUCCAAUCUUUUAUCACACAAAAGAAAGCUUUUGAAAGUUCACUGGUGAAUAAAAACUGGACUAUUAACAAAUUCAGACAUACCAAGGUAAAACCAGCAAUAACAGUGUAUUCUACCCAAGGUAAAACCAGCAAUAACAGUGUAUUCUACCCAAG